rnacentral:rRNA from 1 species
CCUACGGGGGACAGCAGUGAGGAAUAUUGGUCAAUGGGCUUACGCCUGAACCAGCCAAGUCGCGUGAGGGAAGACUGCCCUAUGGGUUGUAAACCUCUUUUGUCAGGGAGCAAUUGGCGCUACGUGUAGCGUUAUCGAGAGUACCUGAAGAAAAAGCAUCGGCUAACUCCGUGCCAGCAGCCGCGGUAAUACGGAGGAUGCGAGCGUUAUCCGGAUUUAUUGGGUUUAAAGGGUGCGUAGGCGGAAUGCCAAGUCAGCGGUAAAAUCGCGGGGCUCAACCUCGCUCCGCCGUUGAAACUGGCGGUCUUGAGUGGGCGAGAAGUAUGCGGAAUGCGUGGUGUAGCGGUGAAAUGCAUAGAUAUCACGCAGAACUCCGAUUGCGAAGGCAGCAUACCGGCGCCCAACUGACGCUGAAGCACGAAAGCGUGGGUAUCGAACAGGAUUAGAUACCCGGGUAGUC